AGUCAAGCUACAAAGGGCUCAUGGCGGAUACCUU
rnacentral:rRNA from 1 species